rnacentral:rRNA from 1 species
UCAAAGGAAUUGACGGGGGCCCGCACAAGCGGCGGANCAUGNGGAUUAAUUCGAUGCAACGCGAAGAACCUUACCAAGGCUUGACAUACACCAGACCGGCCUGGAAACAGGUCUUCCCCUUUGGGGUUGGUGUACAGGUGGUGCAUGGUUGUCGUCAGCUCGUGUCGUGAGAUGUUGGGUUAAGUCCCGCAACGAGCGCAACCCUCGUUCUAUGUUGCCAGCACGUGAUGGUGGGAACUCAUAGGAGACUGCCGGGGUCAACUCGGAGGAAGGUGGGGAUGACGUCAAAUCAUCAUGCCCUUUAUGUCUUGGGCUUCACGCAUGCUACAAUGGCUGGUACAAAGAGAAGCGAGCCCGUGAGGGUCAGCGAAUCCCUUAAAGCCAGUCUCAGUUCGGAUCGUAGUCUGCAAUUCGACUACGUGAAGUCGGAGUCGCUAGUAAUCGCAGAUCAGCAACGCUGCGGUGAAUACGUUCCCGGGCCUUGUACACACCGCCCGUCAAGUCACGAAAGUCGGUAACACCCGAAGCCGGUGGCCUAACCCCGUAUGGGGAGGGGGCCGUCUAAGGUGGGACUGGUGAUUGGGACU